CGGGGGAUGGCUCAGUUUGGCUAGAGCGCUUGCUUUGGGAGCAAGAGGUCGAGAGUUCAAAUCUCUCUCCCCCGACCA
rnacentral:tRNA from 1 species